GAUGAACGCUGGCGGCGUGCCUAAUACAUGCAAGUCGAGCGAACGGACGAGAAGCUUGCUUCUCUGAUGUUAGCGGCGGACGGGUGAGUAACACGUGGAUAACCUACCUAUAAGACUGGGAUAACUUCGGGAAACCGGAGCUAAUACCGGAUGAUAUUUUGAACCGCAUGGUUCAAAAGUGAAAGACGGUCUUGCUGUCACUUAUAGAUGGAUCCGCGCUGCAUUAGCUAGUUGGUAAGGUAACGGCUUACCAAGGCAACGAUGCAUAGCCGACCUGAGAGGGUGAUCGGCCACACUGGAACUGAGACACGGUCCAGACUCCUACGGGAGGCAGCAGUAGGGAAUCUUCCGCAAUGGGCGAAAGCCUGACGGAGCAACGCCGCGUGAGUGAUGAAGGUCUUCGGAUCGUAAAACUCUGUUAUUAGGGAAGAACAUAUGUGUAAGUAACUGUGCACAUCUUGACGGUACCUAAUCAGAAAGCCACGGCUAACUACGUGCCAGCAGCCGCGGUAAUACGUAGGUGGCAAGCGUUAUCCGGAAUUAUUGGGCGUAAAGCGCGUGUAGGCGGUUUUUUAAGUCUGAUGUGAAAGCCCACGGCUCAACCGUGGAGGGUCAUUGGAAACUGGAAAACUUGAGUGCAGAAGAGGAAAGUGGAAUUCCAUGUGUAGCGGUGAAAUGCGCAGAGAUAUGGAGGAACACCAGUGGCGAAGGCGACUUUCUGGUCUGUAACUGACGCUGAUGUGCGAAAGCGUGGGGAUCAAACAGGAUUAGAUACCCUGGUAGUCCACGCCGUAAACGAUGAGUGCUAAGUGUUAGGGGGUUUCCGCCCCUUAGUGCUGCAGCUAACGCAUUAAGCACUCCGCCUGGGGAGUACGACCGCAAGGUUGAAACUCAAAGGAAUUGACGGGGACCCGCACAAGCGGUGGAGCAUGUGGUUUAAUUCGAAGCAACGCGAAGAACCUUACCAAAUCUUGACAUCCUUUGACAACUCUAGAGAUAGAGCCUUCCCCUUCGGGGGACAAAGUGACAGGUGGUGCAUGGUUGUCGUCAGCUCGUGUCGUGAGAUGUUGGGUUAAGUCCCGCAACGAGCGCAACCCUUAAGCUUAGUUGCCAUCAUUAAGUUGGGCACUCUAAGUUGACUGCCGGUGACAAACCGGAGGAAGGUGGGGAUGACGUCAAAUCAUCAUGCCCCUUAUGAUUUGGGCUACACACGUGCUACAAUGGACAAUACAAAGGGCAGCGAAACCGCGAGGUCAAGCAAAUCCCAUAAAGUUGUUCUCAGUUCGGAUUGUAGUCUGCAACUCGACUACAUGAAGCUGGAAUCGCUAGUAAUCGUAGAUCAGCAUGCUACGGUGAAUACGUUCCCGGGUCU
rnacentral:rRNA from 1 species